UACAGAGGGGGCAAGCGUUGUUCGGAAUUACUGGGCGUAAAGGGCGCGUAGGCGGCCCGCUAAGUCGAACGUGAAAUCCCUGGGCUCAACCCAGGAACUGCGUCCGAUAAUGGCAGGCUUGAAUCCGGGAGAGGUAUGCGGAAUUCCAGGUGUAGCGGUGAAAUGCGUAGAUAUCUGGAGGAACACCGGUGGCGAAGGCGGCGCUCUGGGCCGGAACUGACGCUGAGGAGCGAAAGCGUGGGUAGCGAACAGG
rnacentral:rRNA from 1 species